ACAGAUGAGAAAAAACUUUCAGAAGUUAAAUAAUUUGCUCAACAUUAUCCAACCUUGGAUUCAAAUGAAGGAAGACAGAGCAUUGCCAGAUUGCCAAACCACAGAACCAGAAAGGUCCAACAUGGCAAUGGGGUGCCCUGCACAGAGGGUGCUGUGUGCAAGAAGGGAAGAUCUGCGCAUGCCCCAACUGCCCCCGCCCAGACCCCUCCCCACCAAGCGAUGACAUGGAGAUCCUUCCCCCUUCACAUCCCAUAGGAACCCUGCUCACCUCCCUUUCCCCUUCACGAUAAGGUGAUUUAGAGCGUGAACUCUGCCUCCUCCAUUCAUUGAUCAAUAAAUGACGUUUCUGCUUUG